rnacentral:rRNA from 1 species
GUAACAUGUGGGAAUCUGCCUUGUGGUUCAGGACAACAUUGGGAAACCGAUGCUAAUACUGGAUAAGCCCUUACGGGGAAAGUUUUAAUGCCAUAAGAUGAGCCCGCAUUUGAUUAGUUAGUUGGUGAGGUAAUGGCUCACCAAGACAAUGAUCAAUAGCUGAUCUGAGAGGAUGAUCAGCCACACUGGGACUGAGACACGGCCCAGACUCCUACGGGAGGCAGCAGUGGGGAAUCUUGCACAAUGGAGGAAACUCUGAUGCAGCGAUGCCGCGUGAGUGAAGAAGGCCUUUGGGUUGUAAAGCUCUUUUAUAGGGGAAGAUAAUGACUGUACCCUAAGAAUAAGGUCCGGCUAACUUCGUGCCAGCAGCCGCGGUAAUACGAAGGGACCUAGCGUAGUUCGGAAUUACUGGGCGUAAAGCGCGCGUAGGCCGUUGAGUUAGUUAAUUGUGAAAUCCCAAAGCUUAACUUUGGAACUGCAAUUAAAACUGCUCGACUAGAGUUUGAUAGAGGAAAGCGGAAUACAUAGUGUAGAGGUGAAAUUCGUAGAUAUUAUGUAGAACACCAGUUGCGAAGGCGGCUUUCUGGAUCAACACUGACGCUGAGGCG